GUGAGGAAUUUUCCGCAAUGGGCGAAAGCCUGACGGAGCAAUGCCGCGUGAAGGAUGAAGGCCUAUGGGUUGUAAACUUCUUUUCUCAGAAAAGAAUUAUGACGGUAUCUGAGGAAUAAGCAUCGGCUAACUCUGUGCCAGCAGCCGCGGUAUGACAGAGGAUGCAAGCGUUAUCCGGAAUGAUUGGGCGUAAAGCGUCUGUAGGUUGUUUAAAAAGUAUUCUGUCAAAGAUUAGGGCUUAACCCUAGAUAGGCAGAAUAAACUUUUAAGCUAGAGUUUGGUAGAGGCAGAGGGAAUUCCCGGUGGAGCGGUGAAAUGCGUAGAUAUAGGGAGGAACACCAAAGGCGAAGGCACUCUGCUGGGCCAAUACUAACACUGAGAGACGAAAGCGAGGGGAGCAAAUGGGAUUAGAUACCCGAGUAGUCC
rnacentral:rRNA from 1 species